AGGAGGGAGCGCGCGGAGAGCGAGGGAGGAGGGAGCGAGAGAGCAAGCGGCGGAGGGAGGGGAGACCAACUUCUAGUGCUACCAUAAUUCGCCUAAAGCAGGUGCAGCAACUUUCACCCCGCCUGGCAGCCCGCUGAGAGCGAGAGAAAACCACGUGCACCAAACUUUAGGGGAGGAAAAAUGGGAACGUGGGGAGAAGACGUGAGGCGGCAGAUCUGAAAAAGAUGGUAGGUGGAGGGACCCCAGGGAUUCACCCUGGCCUCGGACUAAUCCUAUGGGGCGCUUGCAAACCCCGGCCAUCCCCUGGAGUCUGAAGGUCAUUCCGGACUCCUGACGCCGCCAGUCCCGCGGUGAGACGUGAGCGCCAUUGGCGUCCGUGGCCUCUGUUUCCGUGGCAACCUAGUAACCAUUAAUUUUCAAUUAAAGGAGACAAAAAGCUCGAUGACAGCUCCAGGUCUGCUGAAGAUGUCAAGAAUCUGUAUUAAUAUACAGCAAGAGAGCAUAAUUGUGUGUCCAUCUUCCAGAGCAGCGAAAAAUGGAGGGAUAAUUACCAGCUCGAAAGCCACUCUGUAAUUUAGUUCUUACUGUCACCACAGCCCUACACAUUAGCAUAAAUUAAAAGCAGAGUUUAUUGUUAUCAAAGUGCAUUG
rnacentral:lncRNA from 1 species